rnacentral:piRNA from 1 species
UGCAAUACAAAGUUAAGUAUUUGGACUGA